rnacentral:rRNA from 1 species
GACGAACGCUGGCGGCGUGCUUAACACAUGCAAGUCGAACGGUGAACGAGGGAGCUUGCUCCCUCCGGAUCAGUGGCGAACGGGUGAGUAACACGUGAGCAAUCUGCCCCGAACUCUGGGAUAAGCGUUGGAAACGACGUCUAAUACCGGAUACUACGCGGGAGGGCAUCCUCUCCGCGUGGAAAGAACUUCGGUUCGGGAUGAGCUCGCGGCCUAUCAGCUUGUUGGUGAGGUAACGGCUCACCAAGGCGACGACGGGUAGCCGGCCUGAGAGGGUGACCGGCCACACUGGGACUGAGAGACGGCCCAGACGCCAACGGGAGGCAGCGGUGGGGAGUAUUGCACAAUGGGCGCAAGCCUGAUGCAGCAACGCCGCGUGAGGGACGACGGCCUUCGGGUUGUGAACCUCUUUUAGCAGGGAAGAAGCGAAAGUGACGGUACCUGCAGAGAAAGCACCGGCUAACUACGUG